rnacentral:rRNA from 1 species
GACGAACGCUGGCGGCGUGCCUAAUACAUGCAAGUAGAACGCAGUUGCGAACGGGUGAGUAACGCGUAGGUAACUGCCUCAUAGCGGGGGAUAACUAUUGGAAACGAUAGCUAAUACCGCAUACUGUGGGAUGGACCUGCGUUGUAUUAGCUAGUUGGUGAGGUAAAGGCCCACCAAGGCGACGAUACAUAGCCGACCUGAGAGGGUGAACGGACACACUGGGACUGAGAGAAGGGCCAGACUCCUAAGGGGGGCAGCAGGAGGGAAAUUUCGGAAAAGGACGGAAGGCCGAACGAGGAAAGCCGCGGGAGUUAAGAAGGUUUUCGGAUCGUAAAGCUCUGUUGUGAGGGAAGCGGUAACUACCCAGAAAGGGACGGCUAACUACGUGCCAGCAGCCGCGGUAAUAC